AUCUUGGAGAGUUUGAUCCUGGCUCAGGACGAACGCUGGCGGCGUGCUUAACACAUGCAAGUCGAACGAAGAGCGAUGGAAGCUUGCUUCUAUCAAUCUUAGUGGCGAACGGGU
rnacentral:rRNA from 1 species